rnacentral:rRNA from 1 species
ACACGCCGCGUGAGUGAUGAAGGCUUUCGGGUCGUAAACUCUGUUGUUAGGGAAGACAAGUACGAGAGUAACUGCUCGUACCUUGACGGUACCUAACCAGAAAGCCACGGCUAACUACGUGCCAGCAGCCGCGGUAAUACGUAGGUGGCAAGCGUUAUCCGGAAUUAUUGGGCGUAAAGCGCGCGCAGGCGGUUUCUUAAGUCUGAUGUGAAAGCCCACGGCUCAACCGUGGAGGGUCAUUGGAAACUGGGGAACUUGAGUGCAGAAGAGAAAAGCGGAAUUCCACGUGUAGCGGUGAAAUGCGUAGAGAUGUGGAGGAACACCAGUGGCGAAGGCGGCUUUUUGGUCUGUAACUGACGCUGAGGCGCGAAAGCGUGGGGAGCAAACAGGAUUAGAUACCCCGGUAGAA